UACGAAGGGGGCUAGCGUUGCUCGGAAUCACUGGGAGUAAAGCGCACGUAGGCGGCUUUCUAAGUCAGGGGUGAAAUCCUGGAGCUCAACUCCAGAACUGCCUUUGAUACUGGGAAGCUCGAGUCCGGAAGAGGUGAGUGGAACUCCGAGUGUAGAGGUGAAAUUCGUAGAUAUUCGCAAGAACACCAGUGGCGAAGGCGGCUCACUGGCCCGGUACUGACGCUGAGGUGCGAAAGCGUGGGGAGCAAACAGG
rnacentral:rRNA from 1 species